UUUCGCAAUGCCCGAAAGGGUGACGAAGCGACGCCGCGUGGGUGAGGAAGGCCUUCGGGUUGUAAAGCCCUGUCAGGAGUUAAGAAAUGUAAGUGCGCUAAUAUCGCAUUUAUUUGACGAAGGCUCCAAAGGAAGCCACGGCUAACUCUGUGCCAGCAGCCGCGGUAAUACAGAGGUGGCAAGCGUUGUUCGGAAUUAUUGGGCGUAAAGAGCACGUAGGUGGGUUUGUAAGUCAGAUGUGAAAGCCUUCUGUUCAACGGAAGAAUUGCAUCUGAAACUACAAGUCUUGAGUGUAGGAGGGGAGAAUGGAACUUCUGGUGGAGCGGUGAAAUGCGUAGAUAUCAGAAGGGACGCCGGCGGCGAAAGCGAUUCUCUGGCCUAUUACUGACACUCAGUGUGCGAAAGCUAGGGGAGCAAACGGGAUUAGAUACCCCGGUAGUCCUAGCUGUAAACGAUGGGCACUAAGUAGAGGGGUUUU
rnacentral:rRNA from 1 species